AGAAAAGAGUUUUAAUUGGCUUAUGGUUUUGCAGGCUAUACAGGAAACAUAGAAGCUUCUGCUCCUGGGGAGGUCCCAGGAAGCUUCCAAUUAUAGCAGAAGACAAAGGAGAAACAGAUUCAAAGAAUUAGCCUGACUAUGUCUCAAGGUGGAUGACUCUGUGGAAGCUUUGAGCUGUAUAUAACAACCUCCUGAUCAUCCAUUUACCUUGCUUUGGUACAUUAGGACUUUAAUAGAAACUGCCUAAUGUGCAGUAAUCUUUCAAAGUGUCAAGGUUAUGAAAGACAAAUGGUCAACAGAGGAACCCUUCCAGAUUGAACGAAAGAUGACACACUAAAAAGGCUUCACGUGAUAGCAGCUCUUUGAUCUUGGACUUCUCAACCUCCU
rnacentral:lncRNA from 1 species